GGGUUGUGAGGUUAAGCGACUAAGCGUACACGGUGGAUGCCCUGGCAGUCAGAGGCGAUGAAGGGCGUGCUAAUCUGCGAUAAGCGCCGGUAAGGUGAUAUGAACCGUUAUAACCGGCGAUACCCGAAUGGGGAAACCCAGUGUGACUCGUCACACUAUCAUUAACUGAAUCCAUAGGUUAAUGAGGCGAACCGGGGGAACUGAAACAUCUAAGUACCCCGAGGAAAAGAAAUCAACCGAGAUUCCCCCAGUAGCGGCGAGCGAACGGGGAGGAGCCCAGAGCCUGAAUCAGCAUGUGUGUUAGUGGAAGCGUCUGGAAAGGCGCGCGAUACAGGGUGACAGCCCCGUACACAAAAGCGCAUGUGCUGUGAGCUCGAUGAGUAGGGCGGGACACGUGGUAUCCUGUCUGAAUAUGGGGGGACCAUCCUCCAAGGCUAAAUACUCCUGACUGACCGAUAGUGAACCAGUACCGUGAGGGAAAGGCGAAAAGAACCCCGGCGAGGGGAGUGAAAAAGAACCUGAAACCGUGUACGUACAAGCAGUGGGAGCACCCUUUGGGGUGUGACUGCGUA
rnacentral:rRNA from 1 species